CCUACGGGAGGCAGCAGUGGGGAAUAUUGCACAAUGGGCGAAAGCCUGAUGCAGCGACGCCACGUGAGGGAUGACGGCCUUCGGGUUGUAAACCUCUUUCAGCAGGGAAGAAGCGCAAGUGACGGUACCUGCAGAAGAAGCGCCGGCUAACUACGUGCCAGCAGCCGCGGUAAUACGUAGGGCGCAAGCGUUGUCCGGAAUUAUUGGGCGUAAAGAGCUCGUAGGCGGUCUGUCGCGUCUGGUGUGAAAUCCCAUGGCUCAACUGUGGGCUUGCAUCGGGUACGGGCAGACUAGAGUGCUGUAGGGGAGACUGGAAUUCCUGGUGUAGCGGUGGAAUGCGCAGAUAUCAGGAGGAACACCGAUGGCGAAGGCAGGUCUCUGGGCAGUUACUGACGCUGAGGAGCGAAAGCAUGGGGAGCGAACAGGAUUAGAUACCCUAG
rnacentral:rRNA from 1 species